CUCUCUCUCUCUCUCUCUCUCUCUCUCUCUCUCUCUCUCUCUCUCUCUCUCUCUCUCUCUCUCAAAACCCACCCUAUCGUCAUUUCCUCUCUCAGAUAUCAGAUCCAGCUAUGAGGUUUCCCUCCUACAAAAAACCCUAACACAAUCUCUUCUAUCAGAUCAGCGAUUGGGUUCCAGAAAAAUCGCUUCAUAACAACCAGUAGUAGCAAUGCGAGAUCACAAGUGGAAUAUAAUAAUUAUGGCCUGAAACAAAGGCAUCAGGAUGUUGAAGCUCAUAUUGCAGACGUACGUGGUUAAACUCGGGUUUUCUUGAUGCCUUUUUUAAUGCUCUGCCAGCUUCCAGAAGUUUAAAGGGUUUACCUCGUGGUAUGACUGAAGCUAAAACUGACUUUAAAUUAAACCCGUUAUGGUUAACAAGUAGUUCAAAGUUAAAGAUGAAGAAGUGGAAGCAAAUGGGGAAAAAGAUAUUGUUUUACCGGAAUAACAGCUGAUAAAAACGUUGAUGUUCAUGUUCUUGAUACCAAAGUUGGAAAAAGAUUGUUGAAUGUGUAGUUGAGCUUGAAGAGCUUCAGACCACAUCUUCAGUUGUAGACAUGAAAACAGAUGAAAUCAGCUUGCAGACAGUUUAUGUCUGCAAAAACAAACAACACCUUAGGUAUAUCUACUUGAAUCCAGGCUAAGAUUUCCGCCAUGCAUAACAUGUUGGCCAUGCCAGUGGUCGCCUGACAUUAGCAUUUUCGGUUUCUUCAAGAAAAUUUUAAGAUUAUAUUGUUCCAUUAUGAUGGGAAAUUGGAUUGCUGGCAAGAUCUUGAGUGGAACAGCAAAGCCAUACAUGUUGUAGCUCAGAACCGAACAAAGUGCUAAGGAAUUUACAACCUUUGUUUAUCAGAAUCUAUGGUUUUUAUCUGUAGUUAUUGGUAUUGCUAUGAUUUUUGCCUCAUCUACAAUAGGUGAUAUGCAAAGCAGUUUCUGCAUCCAGCAGCUGUUGUGUCUAUAUAUGUUUAUAUAUUUUUCUGGGAUGAAGACCUUGGAAUGCAGCAUUUUAAUCCUAAAAGGUACUUGGAUAUAACUAAAACAGAGGGGUUAGAGAUAUCACAACCAACUUUAGAUCUAAAUUCAACUGAGGAACGAGUGUAUGAUAGCAGAGGCAGUGUGAAAUGUUCAGGUGCGAGUGAUGCCCUUCCAUGUAUUGAAUUUGUAGCAGGAAUGGAUCCAGUUUGUAGAGGGAGGAGCUUCUGAAUAACGGUUUGAGUCCUUGACUUUGUUUUCUAUCUCUCUCUAGAGAAAACCUAGUUCCGCCACCGCCUCUCUCGCUAUUGAUGGCAACCACGCCAAAUCCACCUCCUUCAACCUCUAGGGCUGUUCAAAAAGCUCGUGGCUCGGAGCUCGCUCGAAGCUCACUCGGAUUUAGCUCGGAAAAAGCUCGCUCGAUAUGGCUCGGUUUAAAAGUGAGCCGAGCCGGCUCGGCUCGUAACGAGCCAAGUUGGCUCGGUUUGGCUCGCUUUGUAGCUCGGCUCGGUUUAGCUCGGAUUAUUUUACUUAUAAUAAAUUUUAAUUUUAUAUACAUUAUAAUAUAUUACAAAAAAACUUAUUACUAUUUACAUGUAUAUAGGUUUGUUAUUUGAUAUCUAUGGCAUAUUUGAAGGUUGAUUACCAUACUAAUGAACUAAUAUUGUAUUUCAUUGAAAUUAAAACUUAUUUUGCGUUGUUGGACUUGAUUUUGGUUUGUAAUGUAUUGGUUGAACUUAUUUUGAAUAUAUUCUUUUAAAGUAUUGAAUAAUAUUUUAGGCUUAAGAUGUUUAUAUUAAUAUUUCUUUAUAAAAUCGAGUCAAACCAAGCCGAGCCGAGCCAGCUCGGUUUAAAACCAAGCCGAGCCCGAGCUUAGAUUUUCAGCUCGGUUUCAAAAACGAGCCGAGCCGAGCCAGCUCGGUUUAUAAUCGAGCCGAGCCCGAUCUUGGCCUGGCUCGGCUUGGCUCGGCUCAUGAACAGCCCUAUCAACCUCCCUCCAGCAUCUGACCCAUCUGACCUGCAAUGGUGAUGGUUAUAUACGUUGGUAGUUGUAACAGUAAAUAGCCACCGUUCCUGUGGCAUCUGGCAACGCCAACCCAGCCCGAUCAGAAAGAUGGGUAAAAAAAGCACAUACGAGGAAUCGUCAAUAUGGGGGGCCGUUUAUAAUACUGCGUGAACAAGAAAGCAAGAGCAGUAGAAUAAUGCAAAUGGUUGGUAGGAAACAUAUGUUGCCUUCAGUUAUUUAUUUUAUUUUCAUUUCAUGUUUAUUUUGGCCAAUAUAUGGUAAUAUAGUCCCCUCCUUUUUUAAUUUUUUACUGAAUUGUAGGUUAUGGUUAACUGAUUUGAAAAAAUAAAACUCAGUUUUGGUUAAAAGGGGUUCUUUUUGAAGAAUCGGUUUCUAUAUUGUUUUGCUCAGUUGCUUAGUAUGCAAGUUUUUACUGUCUGAAAGGUGUCAUCGUAUGGGUAUGGUAUGAGUGAUGCAAUUGGACCAGUUUAUUUGAAAGAGCGACCUGGUUCGGAGAUGCCAGCGCGUAUUGAUGUCGAAGUGGUUAAACCUCUUAAAGAUGCUUACGCCCGUAUGAAAUUUGUGCUAAAGAAGGUAUUUGAACUAUAUAUGACAUUAAAUCAUGGCUCGACUUUGUUACAUGGGAUAUAAUAUGAUAUUUAUCUGAUAAAAGAUCAAAAUAUCGAAUAUACUAUUUUUUAUGACA